GACGAACGCUGGCGGCGUGCUUAACACAUGCAAGUCGAACGAUGAAGCUGGAGCUUGCUCCGGUGGAUUAGUGGCGAACGGGUGAGUAACACGUGAGUAACCUGCCCUUGACUCUGGGAUAACUGCGGGAAACUGUAGCUAAUACCGGAUACGACCCUCGGCGGCAUCGCCAGGGGGUGGAAAGAAUUUCGGUCAAGGAUGGACUCGCGGCCUAUCAGCUAGUUGGUGAGGUAACGGCUCACCAAGGCGACGACGGGUAGCCGGCCUGAGAGGGUGACCGGCCACACUGGGACUGAGACACGGCCCAGACUUCUACGGGAGGCAGCAGUGGGGAAUAUUGCACAAUGGGCGCAAGCCUGAUGCAGCAACGCCGCGUGAGGGAUGACGGCCUUCGGGUUGUAAACCUCUUUUAGUAGGGAAGAAGCGAAAGUGACGGUACCUGCAGAAAAAGCACCGGCUAACUACGUGCCAGCCGCCGCAGUAA
rnacentral:rRNA from 1 species